GACGAACGCUGGCGGCGUGCUUAACACAUGCAAGUCGAACGGAAAGGCCCUGCUUUUGUGGGGUGCUCGAGUGGCGAACGGGUGAGUAACACGUGAGUAACCUGCCCUUGACUUUGGGAUAACUUCAGGAAACUGGGGCUAAUACCGGAUAGGAGCUCCUGCUGCAUGGUGGGGGUUGGAAAGUUUCGGCGGUUGGGGAUGGACUCGCGGCUUAUCAGCUUGUUGGUGGGGUAGUUGCUUACCAAGGCUUUGACGGGUAGCCGGCCUGAGAGGGUGACCGGGCACAUUGGGACUGAGAUACGGCCCAGACUGCUACGGGAGGCAGCAGUGGGGAAUAUUGCACAAUGGGCGGAAGCCUGAUGCAGCAACGCCGCGUGCGGGAUGACGGCCUUCGGGUUGUAAACCGCUUUCGCCUGUGACGAAGCGUGAGUGACGGUAAUGGGUAAAGAAGCACCGGCUAACUACGUG
rnacentral:rRNA from 1 species